rnacentral:lncRNA from 1 species
UAAAUAUUUUAAUCUUAAUUAUUAUUAUUUAUUAGUGGAGAUCAGCUUGUGUAAAGGAAAGAAGAGAGAACUUUUGGUCAAGUUGACCUAAGUCCAGGUCCCCACACUACUCAGGCCUCAUUUCUUCUUUGGUAAAAUGAUGUGAACUAUUCAUAGUUCAUUUGGCUAUUGUGUAAACUGAAAGGCACAAAAUAUGCUCAGUACCUAAAGAGUGCCUGGUUCAUGGAAAUGCUUAAUAAACGGCAGUUAUGGAAAUGCUUAAUAAAUAGCAGUUAAUAUUAUUAUUUCAUGUUAUGCAAGCUGAGUAAUAAUUACUAGUCUUCUUGGACCAUCCUUGCAGAGAAGGUGGUCAGAGUAAUUUUUAUUUUCUGCCAUAGAAAUUGCAAUAAGGGAAAUGUAACACUUUUCAAGGUCACCCAAUAAGUCACUCUCUGUCAUUAGGACUUAAGGGUUUUCAGCUUCCUUGUCUGAUUUCAGUCCAUUAGGCCACAAAGUCAUCAAAACAAACCAGAAAAGAGCACCAUCAAAAAGCAAAAGUAAUAAAAUCAAAGGAUCCUGGAGCAGUAUUGUACUAAAAGCCAUCUGCUAUCUUAGUCCACAUUCUCAACCCUCUUGAAAUGUUAUUUGUAAAGCUUUAAAAGGCUUGACUGGAAACCUUCAUGUCUUUUUAAAGAUACAGUAUAUCUACUGCUGACUCAUGCAUGCUGAAUUAAGAAUUGUAAUAUAGAUUUUUGAAUAUACAUCAGAGAAAUGCCAAUACUUUUUACAUUGUCAAAGCCCUUAGGCUUUUGCUGUUGAGAAAGAAGCUUUAUGAUUAGCUGAGCAAAUGAUUACUGCUGCAGAAGUAAUGGUGAGAAGAGUUUGUGUGUGUGUGUGUGUGUAUUUGUGUAUAGAAGUGUGUUCAGAAGAGUAGAGAAUUUCUGUGCCAUAAUCAGGUGAAAGAGAAAAAAAAAAAAGACACGUAACUGCUGCCUUAGCAUUUCCACUUGACUUUGGUACCUUGUCUCCCUGCCUUGCUCUGUCAGAUGCUCUUAUUCUUCCCACUCCUUUUCUCAUUUGGGCUUGGCAGGCACACUUUCGCUCAGUGCCAGUGUGGUAACCUUAUACUCGCUUACUUAAGUGGCUGAUCUCAUCUCUUCCUUUAUGUGGUUUGUGGGAUUUUUUUCCCCCUCUUUGGCUUAUUACUUCCUUCUACCACCUUGUAGAGUUGCCUUUUUCAUUGUACUUGUGUUAUUGUGUUAUCUUUUACAAAUAAAACGAUAAAUAUUUUUUAAAGUCUUUUUUUUUUUUAAACCUAAAGUCUUUUUAAUGCCAGUUGUGGGGGCAGAUAUUUUUAUGUGAACCAUAAUGAGAAAGAAAAAUGGAUUUCUCCCAGCUUUAUAUAAAGCCCCAAUGAAGUAGAGGGCAAAUUCUCAAGUUACAGGAUUCUUCUUGUCCUAUUUCUGAGGAGCAGAGCAUAAAGUUUUUUUUUUUUUUUUUUUUUUUUUUUUUUUUUNAGAGAUGGCAAAACAGGGACUCAAACCAAAGUCAUCACAAAAGGCUCCCAGUGUAGACCCAGCCAUCUGCAUAUAGUUCACAGAACUCUUCUGUUUAUUUAUGAGUCGUGGAAUGUGUAAAGCCAACUUCUAGCUGUAAAAGGACAUACAGUUGCUCUCGUAUAAUUUCUUUGGCCUCUUUUUUUUUUUCAGCAAAAUCAAGAGUUUUUUAUAUACAGGGAAACACUGCUAUGCAUAAGGGCCCAGUUUUUAGGAAUUCAUAUUCCUUUGCUAAAACACUUAAAAUGACAACUUAAAAAUAUGAGUAUAGGAUUUAAAUAACCACAGCUGAUCUUGACAUAUAUACACUGAAGUACUGUACCUGCUAAGAAUACUUUAGAAGAGCUCUAAUGUGCUUUGAAAAAGAAGCAGAAUUAAAUUGAAGAUAGAAACAUUAAUUUUCUGGUAUAACUUGGUUCUUUUCAAGAUAACAAUCUUCGAUUAAGAUAGGCACAAAAGAAGAUAAUGAAAGAAGUUAUAUGUUUUACCUUAAGACUUAACAAUCUUCUUGAUAGUAAGAUUUUUCCAGAGGUCUUUAUAGGGAAAAAUGAUUUCAAAUUUCAUCAUGAUACAAUGAGUUCAAGGAGCUAAAUUGUUUAUACAUUAAAAAAUUACAUGUCUCUGCCAUUCUUGCUCUGCAGCUCUAGGCUCUAUCUUUCUAGUUAAAAAGAACAUUAUGUUUUGCAGGCCAGCAACUUCCUUGAUAUGAUGUUUUAGCUUAAUCUAAACAUUACCCUCUAGACAUUCUAAGAAAGUUGCUUUUCUGACAUGAUGUGAUUUUAUGAUCUUGUUGAAACAUUUUCAGCCUUAAACAUUACACACAAAUAGAUGGAAAUAAGUGAUAGCUUGAAUGUCUGACCUCUACAUGUGAGUUUGGAGUUACCCCCCCAAAUACGUGAAAAUGUAAAAUGAUACCUAUUCUCAGAAAUAGAAAAAUAUAAACAAAUGCCAAACAAGGCCAGGCCAGAGUUCUGUAACUCCAAAUUCUCUUUGUUUCCUUAUAAUUUCCAGUGGAUCUUGGGUAACAUUUAGGGAUGAAUAGUGUAUAUACAAAGGAGAGGUUACCACUCACAAAAAAACGAUGGAGUGAGUUUAAUAUUCUCUAGAAUAUUCUCUAUACAUUUAAGACCUUAAUCACUAGGGGAGGUGUCAACAGGUAAACAUAUUUUCUUCAAGAAUGCAAAAUCUGGGAACAGAGUUUCUUAAAUUUGGAGGGAGAAAGACAAAGACCAUUGGUCAUAUGAGUUGGCUGUGAGGAUGAGGGGUGAGCUUGGUGUGAAAAACAAAUGUUAUUAAUAAACACUGAGCUUUGGAGUUCCCAUCAUGGCUCAGUGGUUAACAAACCCGGCUAAUAUCCAUGAGGAUUCGGGUUCGAUCCCAGGCCUCGCUCAGUGGGUUAAGGAUCCAGUGUUGCCUUGUGCUGUGGUGUAGGUCACAGAUGUGGCUCAGAUCCCACACUGCUGUGGCUGUGGUGUAGGCUGGCAGCCAUUGCUCCUAUUUGACCCCUAGCCUGGGAACCUCCAUAGCCCCUAAAAAGUCAAAACAAGAAAACCAAAAAAAAAAAAAAAAACCCUGAUUUUUUUUUUUUUUUUGGUCUCUGCUUUUAGCAGUAAUCUCAUCUACCUUAUAAUAUGUUAGGAGGAACUAUAAACCCACUGGAAAUAAUUCCUUUAUCACUUGUAAUACUGUAUAUGGUGCUCUAUAUACUAGGUUGGAACCCCAGAAAUGACUUGCCCCUGAGCAGUGCAGACAUUUUUUGAAUAUAUAAAACACCUACUUACAGCAUAUAAAGAUCCAUGCCAAUAGAUGCCCAAUUGUCCUUUCCUCUAAGGAUCCUAUCCCUUUUUAUUCAUUCUAAUAAUACCCUUUUCUUCUCUUUUGAAACACUUUUCACAUUUGCAAUUUGUAAUUUCUUUGUGGGAUCUGUUUUCUGUCCCAGAGUUUAGGUCUUAUAAUGGAGGAGACCAUGAAUAUAUAUAUUCAACAUCAUAUCCACAGGACACACAGGCAUCCCAAUAAAUACCUUCUUGAAUGGGUAGAUGUAUGGAUGAAUGGAUGAAUGAGUGACAGUUAUAUACAGUGUGACAUGGUACACUUUGUAGGGAAUGUGAGAUUGAAGGGGAACAGGUGGGGAAGGCAGAUUUUGAAAACCUGGAAUACCAAAGAUAGUAGAUUAUAUUUGGUAGGAGGUGAAGGACUUUUAGCAGCAAUGUGACACAGUCAGGCAGAUGCUUUAGCAGACCACCGUGAAGGUUAUAUGGAGGCAUAAUCACAAGAGAGAGGGCAACAUGGAGAGUAUUGGAAGUAUGUCUUAGUAGUUACCAAGUACUCUUUUAUUUGUUUUCAUAGGAUUUACUUCUCCCUGAUAUUUGCUUAUUUAUACAUUUAUUAUCUAUCGAACUCUGCUUACCCUUCCUUGAGAGAAGAGAUAGUGUCUGUCUCAUUCAAUGAUGUAGCCCCAGCAGUUAAAACUCCUGGCAUUAGUUAAGCCUUAACUAAUGUUUAUUGAGUAAUAAUGAAUAGUUUUUUUAAGCACUUCCAACAUAUUUAGGGAGCCAUUUAUAAAUGUCUGCUGAGCUAUACAGUAUAUCUUAUUUCUACCUAUCCAUUUCUAUCUUCCAUUCUGAGGGGAUUGGAAAAUUUAAAUACAAAAGACACAAUUCUUCUAGUUGGGGAUGUAGCAAUUAUUUCCAAAGACUCACAAUUUCUGAGUUCUGACUUCACUUUUUUCAGCUUGUGUUCUAUUAGACAUGAGGUAAACAAACAAACAAAAACCCACUCAAGCUAAUUUUAACGCAUAAUCUAAGGAAUGAACUUGCUUCUUCUGCAGCCCCUUAGAUUUUAUUCUCUAGAGAUUUGUGGUACAUUUGGGCUGAGAUUGCAAUUUACCUUUUCAUCAAGAUUAGAAUAGCCUCUUCUUAUCAGCACAAGAAUCUAUUUAAAUAAGUUUAAGACUGCACUUUCUCUUAGUGGCAAAAAUAUACUUCUCUGCACCCAGGCAUUUAAAAUUCUUUCAAAAUCUCAUGCAGAAAUUCACAGUGAUGAUUUUCUUGUAGGUCUCUGUUACAAAAGAAAUCAUAGUAUCAAGAAGCAAAUGAAAUGACCUUGACAACUAAAUUCUAUUUUCUAUUAAAAUAUGGCUCUCUUGUAUUCAAAUGUCCAGGAGUUUUCUCAGCCGGAAAGUUGGGGAAAUCAUUUUAUUUACGUGUGUGGCUCAUUUUGAGUCUACAUUGUGGAUGAUUCCCAAACACUGGAUUCUUAUAUGUAACAUGUGGACAUGUUUAUUAGCUCCUACUAAAUAAACACAGACCAAUUAAGCAUGAACAAUAUGAUCUGAAAAAUUAGAAAUUUGUGUAGAGUUUUCCUGGAUUUUGUAGUAUUACC